UGAUGGUCUAGUGGUUAAGAUUCAGUGCUCUCAUCACUGUGGCCUGGGUUCAUUUCCUGGUCA
rnacentral:tRNA from 1 species